rnacentral:rRNA from 1 species
UACGUAGGGGGCAAGCGUUGUCCGGAUUUACUGGGCGUAAAGAGCGCGCAGGCGGUCGUUCAAGUCGCGUGUGAAAGCCCCCGGCUCAACUGGGGAGGGUCACGCGAUACUGUUCGACUCGAAGGCAGGAGAGGGAAGUGGAAUUCCCGGUGUAGUGGUGAAAUGCGUAGAUAUCGGGAGGAACACCAGUGGCGAAGGCGACUUCCUGGCCUGUUCUUGACGCUGAGGCGCGAAAGCUAGGGUAGCAAACGGG